UGUUUUGAGAGUUUGAUCCUGGCUCAGGAUGAACGCUGGCGGCGUGGAUAAGGCAUGCAAGUCGAAUGGCCACAUCACACUUUGUGUGAUGUCCAAGAUCAGAGGCCCACGGGAACGUACCGAGAGGAACGAUUUUGUUUCUUGAGGAGGUUUCUACAAAGAGGCACUGAUAAAGACACAUCGCGCGUAGUGCGAUGUGGCCAUGGCAAACGGGUUCGGAAUACAUAGGAAUUUCCCUCAGAGUCGUGAAUAAUUCGGAGAAAUCCGAGCUAAUACACGAUACGCUCUACGGAGUAAAGAUUUAUCGCUUU
rnacentral:rRNA from 1 species